rnacentral:rRNA from 1 species
AUGGCGAUUUGUAGUUCACUUCAUCUUUCUACUACCCUGCAAGCCUUAUUAAUCUUUGUUGUGCUUGCAGUACUCUUACGUGAUGUUCAUGGGCGACACCACUGUGAUACUUUCUCCUGUGGACAUCUCCAUAAUAUAUCACAUCCUUUCCGCCGGCAAGGGGAUCCACAUGGGUGCGGUGUUCAAUCAUAUGAGCUGGUUUGCACCGAGAACAAGCCCAAAAUUCAGAUCAACACAGCGACAUAUUUUGUCACUGAGAUCAACUACACCGAUUCGUCCUUCCGGGUCGUUGAUGUCAACUUGGACAUGAACAGCAGCUGCCCUCUUCCUCGCUGGGAUGAGCUUCCUUAUUUCAACGGGAUCCAAAGGUCAGACAAAGACCAGAGCUGGGAAUUGCUCCCUAUGUAUACAGACACAGUGGGUAGCUUUGUGAAUUGCUCGCAGGCGGUGUCACUAACAAAUGAAUUUUAUCAGUAUUCGUACACAUCGGUCCCUUGCCUGAGCAACAACCACUCUUUUGUUUAUAUAGUGACUGAUACUGUGCCUAUUGAAUACUUAGCGCCUUCUUGCGGGUACCUGGCCAUGUUUCUUUUGAGUGAUCCGGGUCCUGGUAACUACUACAAUUUCAGCCAUUAUGCAGAUUUUGUAAAACACCUGAGGCUUGGAUUCUCUGUUCGAUUCCCUCUGCUGGAUCCUCCAAUGAGCAUUAUUGGGCGAAUCAACUUCUGCCUCAACGAGUCGUUUCGCGACCGAAAUCAUGUUACAGGCAACAACAUCAAGAGUUGGACCAUGGACAUCCUUCUUAUGGACUUCAGUUUCUGGGCAUGCAUAUUUGGUGUAAAUUUAAAUAGUAACAAUAUGCUUCUGUACAUGAGGGUCAUGAUUCAUGAUGAUCAAUCAUUUCAUCAUGUUCUGCCCCCAGUAUUUGCUCUGGUGAUUGCGAAGUGGAUUGCUGUACUUUGCAGGAUCCUGCUAGCGCCCCUAGCAGUAUUGAUGUUCCUUGCCCAAAAGUACUGGAAAACAAGGAUCACAAUUGAUGCGGUUGAAAAGUUCCUCCAGAUGCAACAAAUGAUCGGGCCGACGAGGUACGCCUACACAGACAUCGUUGCAUUGACAAGCCACUUCAGAGACAAGCUGGGCCAAGGUGGUUAUGGCUCCGUCUUCAAGGGCGUGCUACUCCCAGGCAAUGUCAAUAUCGCUGUCAAGAUGCUUGAGGGCAGCUCCAACUGCAACGGAGAAGACUUCAUCAGUGAGGUCUCCACCAUCGGCAGGAUCCACCAUGUCAAUGUGGUCCGUCUCGUGGGGUUCUGCUCAGAGGAAAUGAGAAGGGCUCUUGUUUACGAAUACAUGCCUCGAGGUUCUCUUGACAAGUACAUCUUUUCAGCCCAGAAGAGUUUUUCUUGGGACAAGCUCAAUGAGAUUGCUUUGGGCACUGCCCGAGGGAUCAACUACCUGCAUCAGGGGUGCGAAAUGCAGAUUCUGCACUUCGACAUCAAGCCACACAACAUCCUUCUUGACAACAAUUUUGUCCCAAAAGUUGCUGAUUUUGGACUUGCCAAACUGUACCCAAGGGACAACAGUUUUGUGCCAUCUAAUGCCUUACGUGGGACUGUUGGGUACAUAGCUCCUGAGAUGAUAUCUCGGAGCUUUGGUACCAUAUCAAGCAAGUCUGAUGUUUACAGCUUCGGGAUGCUGCUUCUGGAGAUGGCCGGAGGAAGAAGGAACGCUGAUCCAAAUGCCGCGAACUCAAGCCAGUCUUAUUACCCAUCAUGGGUGUAUGACAAACUAACUGCACAAGAGGCGGAUGCUAUAUCUCUGGUUGCUGACAUGCAUGAGUUGGAGAGAAAGCUGUGCAUUGUUGGAUUAUGGUGCAUUCAGAUGAAGUCUCAUGACAGGCCGACAAUGAGCGAGGUCAUAGAGAUGCUGGAAGGUGGCUUCGAUGGCCUGCAAAUGCCUUCCAGGCCAUUCUUCUGCGACGACGAACACACCGCCGUUCCGGAUUCAUACCCUUUGCUAUCCGAGCUGACCGAGAUCUCAGCGGAGGAUGAGAUCUCGGAUUCUUAUGUUUCCCGGGUCCUGUGA